GAUGAACGCUAGCGGCAGGCUUAAUACAUGCAAGUCGUGGGGCAGCAUGAAUGUAGCAAUACAUUUGAUGGCGACCGGCAAACGGGUGCGGAACACGUACACAACCUUCCUAUAAGUGGGGAAUAGCCCAGAGAAAUUUGGAUUAAUACCCCGUAACAUAAUGAUGUGGCAUCACAUUAUUAUUAUAGCUACGGCGCUUAUUGAUGGUGUGCAGCUGAUUAGAUAGUUGGCGGGGUAACGGCCCACCAAGUCUACGAUCAGUAGCUGAUGUGAGGGCAUGAUCAGCCACACGGGAACUGAGACACGGGCCCGACUCCUACGGGAGGCAGCAGUAAGGAAUAUUGGUCAAUGGACGCAAGUCUGAACCAGCCAUGCCGCGUGAAGGAUUAAGGUCCUCUGGAUUGUAAACUUCUUUUAUCUGGGACGAAAAAAGGCGAUUCUUCGUCACUUGACGGUACCAGAUGAAUAAGCACCGGCUAACUCCGUGCCAGCCGCCGCGGUAA
rnacentral:rRNA from 1 species